UACGAAGGGGGUUAGCGUUGUUCGGAAUCACUGGGCGUAAAGGGCGUGUAGGCGGGAAGGAAAGUCAGAUGUGAAAUCCCCAGGCUCAACCUGGGAACUGCAUUUGAAACUCCCUUUCUUGAGUACCGGAGAGGAAAGUGGAAUUCCUGGUGUAGAGGUGAAAUUCGUAGAUAUCAGGAGGAACACCGGUGGCGAAGGCGGCUAUCUGGACAGAAACUGACGCUGAGGCGCGAAAGCUAGGGGAGCAACCAGG
rnacentral:rRNA from 1 species